GACGAACGCUGGCGGCGUGCUUAACACAUGCAAGUCGAGCGGAAAGGCCCUGCUUUUGUGGGGUGCUCGAGUGGCGAACGGGUGAGUAGCACGUGAGUAACCUGCCCUUGACUUUGGGAUAACUUCAGGAAACUGGGGCUAAUACCGGAUAGGAGCUCCUGCUGCAUGGUGGGGGUUGGAAAGUUUCGGCGGUUGGGGAUGGACUCGCGGCUUAUCAGCUUGUUGGUGGGGUAGUGGCUUACCAAGGCUUUGACGGGUAGCCGGCCUGAGAGGGUGACCGGCCACAUUGGGACUGAGAUACGGCCCAGACUCCUACGGGAGGCAGCAGUGGGGAAUAUUGCACAAUGGGCGGAAGCCUGAUGCAGCAACGCCGCGUGCGGGAUGACGGCCUUCGGGUUGUAAACCGCUUUCGCCUGUGACGAAGCGUGAGUGACGGUAAUGGGUAAAGAAGCACCGGCUAACUACGUG
rnacentral:rRNA from 1 species